GAUGAACGCUGGCGGCGUGCCUAAUACAUGCAAGUCGAGCGAAUGGAUUAAGAGCUUGCUCUUAUGAAGUUAGCGGCGGACGGGUGAGUAACACGUGGGUAACCUGCCCAUAAGACUGGGAUAACUCCGGGAAACCGGGGCUAAUACCGGAUACCAUUUUGAACCGCAGGGUUCGAAAUUGAAAGGCGGCUUCGGCUGUCACUUAUGGAUGGACCCGGGUCGCAUUAGAUAGUUGGUGAGGUAACGGCUCACCAAGGCAACGAUGCGUAGCCGACCUGAGAGGGUGAUCGGCCACACUGGGACUGAGACACGGCCCAGACUCCUACGGGAGGCAGCAGUAGGGAAUCUUCCGCAAUGGACGAAAGUCUGACGGAGCAACGCCGCGUGAGUGAUGAAGGCUUUCGGGUCGUAAAACUCUGUUGUUAGGGAAGAACAAGUGCUAGUUGAAUAAGCUGGCACCUUGACGGUACCUAACCAGAAAGCCACGGCUAACUACGUGCCAGCAGCCGCGGUAA
rnacentral:rRNA from 1 species